UACGUAGGUGGCAAGCGUUAUCCGGAAUUAUUGGGCGUAAAGCGCGCGCAGGCGGUUUCUUAAGUCUGAUGUGAAAGCCCACGGCUCAACCGUGGAGGGUCAUUGGAAACUGGGGAACUUGAGUGCAGAAGAGAAAAGCGGAAUUCCACGUGUAGCGGUGAAAUGCGUAGAGAUGUGGAGGAACACCAGUGGCGAAGGCGGCUUUUUGGUCUGUAACUGACGCUGAGGCGCGAAAAGCGUGGGGAGCAAACAGG
rnacentral:rRNA from 1 species